GAUGUUCCUGGAAUAAAACGAGCAUUUGUAAGUAUUCUUAUAUCUAGAUAUGCAGCCUGAAAACACUUUACAAUAUUUAGAUUUAAAAAGAGGCGUUUUCUAAAAUUUUAUUUUCAUAUUUCAAUUUAUUGCAAGUGGGCUCCCUGUGGUUUGCGCAGGAGGUUCCCGCGUCAAAACUGCGCAAUAUGUAAAUUAAGUUCAUGACUUGCAUGCAAGUGUUGAAUCAUGGCUGAAAGUUUGAAAAUUUAUCAACAGAAUGAAGAAACAGUCCAUUCACAGCCAUCAGAUGCAUUCAAACAUUUCACUAUCAAUGACUGUAUUGCUCUGUGACAGGCUUGAUCUGUGAAUACCUACAAAGAUUAAGUGAUUUAUCUAUUGAAAAUUCCCCAAGGUCCUGGGAUGAUCAUUACCACAUGUUAACAGUGGAUGGUAGACAUAGGCUUUAUCAGUGUAAGCCCUAGACUUCAGUAUCUCCCAUUUUGAAGGCUAUUAAAAGUCAACAGAACAAGAAGAAAUAAUAGCAUCACUGAGAAAGUCUCUAGAUCUUCGUCUUUCAAGGUGAGAAAAUAUACACAUGCACAAUAGCACUAUUUCUUUGAUUAUCAAAAUAAAGUUCAAAAUCGUUUCGCCAAUCAACUGAAACUGGUCAGACUUUCUCAAAGACUAUCCUAGCGCGUUUAGCCCUAUCACACUCCGCAUUCACCUCCAGUGAGUUAGCGAUUGCUCUUGGCGCAAGUGCAAAUAAAUCUACGAAGAACAAGUACACGGAACAUAUGAGACGGUUGUCAUUUGUAUAGUAUGUGUAAUCUUGCCUACAGCAGAUUACAUUUAACGAUAAGGACAUUUACUUUACAAGAGGUUUGACGAAUUUACUGACUUUCCCGAUGAGGCUGUUGAACGAUAGAGUUGAUUCUCAAAUUUUAUCAAACCCUGAAAUAACCAUUGGGCCAGCUGAUGUACGUCAAGGCAAGACUGAGAAAUAACACUAGGAAAUGAAACACAAGAACGAAAACAAAAAAACAAAACAAAACAGACGGACAUACAGUCCUAACGAAAUUUACAGUAAGAACCUUUCCAAUUCGUAUCUAUCCCAAUUUCUA